UCUGCUUCCGGAGCUGCCCUGAGCUUUUGUUGUUCCUGCGUUCCCUCCCGAGCUGGCAAAACUUUUUAUCCUCAAACACGUUUUGACUCCCACGAAAGGAAGAUCUGGCUAUGAUUAGAUGCUGGCGGCUUCUUCACCCUGUAAAGAAGUCCCAGUGUUGAUCCUGUUCAUUUACAUACGCAUCGAUAAACAACAGCAGAACCCCGAAAACGCUCCUGCCUUGGGGUGCUGUAUAAUUUAUUAGGGGCAUCUAUAAUUUAUCUGACGUCUCCAAGCCAGAUCUUUGUUUCGGCAAAAUCGUGACCGGGCAAGUUGGCGCGAAAACCCCCAAGUGACUGACUUUGCUUCUGGACUGACUGGACUGCUUCUGAGUGUUGCUCUCGAAGGAGCCUGGAGGAAACUUACUGUGACACACUUGGCAAUAAGUGUAUCAGUUUCUUUAUUUUUGUGUAGGAGAUGAUUUAAGAGAAAGCACAUCAAUCAACCUCAGUUAUUUAUAAAUAAAAUUAGCUUCAAGCUGCCA